AACCCCUUGAGGACCGAUAACUGUUCAGGACAAUCAUCGGAAACAUCCCCUUGAGGACCGAUGACUGUCUUGAACUGUCAUAACGGUCUUGGGGUACUUACCUGAUCGGCGUUUCACCCGGUCUGGGGGGGACUGCCUGUCUGCCCAAGCAGUCUCCCCGCGGCAGAUCAGGACCCCAUGGCCACGUGAUCGCUCGAUCACAUGGCCGCAAAAGGUGCCUGUGUAUAUGCCUGCAGGGGGACAGUCUGUGCUGACAGGCAGUCUCCCUGCAAGUGAAAAAUCCUAAAAUAAAGUUUAAAAAAAAAAAGGAAUCCGUGUUUAAAAUAUUUUUUAAUAUAUGUGUG